rnacentral:rRNA from 1 species
UACGGGGGGGGCAAACGUUGUUCGGAAUUACUGGGCGUAAAGGGCUCGUAGGCGGCCAACUAAGUCAGACGUGAAAUCCCUCGGCUUAACCGGGGAACUGCGUCUGAUACUGGAUGGCUUGAGGUUGGGAGAGGGAUGCGGAAUUCCAGGUGUAGCGGUGAAAUGCGUAGAUAUCUGGAGGAACACCGGUGGCGAAGGCGGCAUCCUGGACCAAUUCUGACGCUGAGGAGCGAAAGCCAGGGGAGCAAACGGG